UUUGUGUCUUUAGUGCUUGUGGUUCUGAGAACUUUCCCUGUGACAUCGUUGUCCUUUAUGGCCUCAUGAUCUUGGUGUGUGAAAAAACUGUUGCUUUGGUUCUGCAGAGCAUCCCUUUUGCACUUAAAAUAAGCUGGUCUUCAGAGAGUGAUUCCAGUUGGAACCUGCUUGGAUCCAUACUACCAAAGUAAAUAAGUAAACAAGAAAGAAAAAAAAAAAGCAACAAUGACAACCAAAAAAUACCACCAAAACAACUGUUAAAACCAAUGGAAAGAAAGAAAGAUCAAGGUCAAGAUCUGAAGGGAAGGACAAGAAGAUCCUGCAGUGCUGAUCAUUUUCCCAGUCUCUAGGGAAGCAACUGCAAUGUGCCAACACACUGUGAGUUUCAAAGCUGGCAUGGAGUGCCUACCCUCCUGCUGAGAGGCCCUCAUAAAAAUAAGGUGACCUCAGUAAAAUUACCCAGCAGGCCUUGGUGAAAAUGAGCAGAGGCGACCAACUGUUAAUAUGAUGAUGUCAAGCACAUUGUUCUACAAUAAUGUAGUUGCUAGUACUGCAAUCAAGGAAAAACAGCAAGGAAAUCUGGGAGAAAAACUGCUUUUCCAUUUACUGCAACCAUUCUGCCUAGACUAGAAAAAUAAAAGCAAACAAAAGCAGUUAGUUUAACCCCUGCAAAUGCCUGUAUGUAACUGAAAAACCUGGUGUUUCUUUUUGAUCUUUGCUCACCAUUCUGGUGGUGCAGCCACUGCAGGCUUUGGACAUUGUGCAAUCAAAUGUGAAUUCAUGCAAUUCUGGUUGCAAUUAGCCCUGAUUUCAUGGCAACAAAAAAGAAGAAAUAUUAUGGA